rnacentral:rRNA from 1 species
CCAGCCAUGCCGCGUGAUGAUGACGGUCCUAUGAUUGGUAAGCUGUUUCUCGCUAAAAAAAACGCCUCUACUCGGAGAAAUUUCCCCGGCUCGCUUCAAGCCAGAUCGCCCGGCUCCACGACAGGGGCUACGGUUGUUCGGAAGAUCCGGGCGUUAUCCGGAAUCAUUGGGAUUAUUGGGUCCGGAGGGAGAUCCCGCAGCUCAUCUGCAAAACUGCCUUUUAUACUGUUUAUCUUGCGUUGGGACUACGUAACUGGAAUUGCUAGGAAGUAACUGAAAUAUGUAGUGUAUCGGUGAAAUGCUUAGAGAUUACAUGGAAUACCAAUUGCUAAGGCAGGUUACUACUAAUGGAUUGACGCUGAUGGACGAAAGCGUGGGUAGCGAACAGGAUUACAUACCCUGGUAGUCCACGCCGUAAACGAUGGAUACUAGCUGUUGGGCGCAAGUUCAGUGGCUAAUCGAAAGUGAUAAGUAUCCCACCUGGGGAGUACGUUCGCAAGAAUGAAACUCAAAGGAAUUGACGGGGGCCCGCACAAGCGGUGGAGCAUGUGGUUUAAUUCGAUGAUACGCGAGGAACCUUACCAAGGCUUAAAUGUAAUUUGACCGAUUUGGAAACAGAUCUUUC